UACGUAGGGGGCUAGCGUUGUCCGGAAUCAUUGGGCGUAAAGCGCGCGUAGGCGGCCCGGUAAGUCCGCUCUGAAAGUCCAGGGCUCAACCCUGGAAUGCGGGUGGAUACUGCCGGGCUAGAGUCCGGAAGAGGCGAGUGGAAUUCCUGGUGUAGCGGUGGAAUGCGCAGAUAUCAGGAAGAACACCCGUGGCGAAGGCGGCUCUCUGGGACGGUACUGACGCUGAGACGCGAAAGCGUGGGGAGCGAACAGG
rnacentral:rRNA from 1 species